rnacentral:lncRNA from 1 species
GGACGUCAACAUCGUGCAGUUUUACACACCGUUUGGCGAGCAUCUAGGCACCCUGAAAGUUCCAGGAAAGCAGAUGUGCUCUCUGUCCUGGGAAGGAGGCGGACUGAAGAUUGCUCUAGCUGUUGACUCCUUUAUAUAUUUUGCAAAUAUCCGACCUGAUUAUAAGUGGGGCUAUUGUUCCAACACUGUGGUUUAUGCAUACACCAGACCCGAUCGUCCAGAGUACUGUGUUGUUUUCUGGGACACAAAAAACAAUGAGAAAUAUGUUAAAUAUGUGAAGAGUCUCAUUUCUAUCACCACGUGUGGCGAUUUCUGCAUUUUGGCCACAAAAGCUGAUGAAAAUCACC